rnacentral:lncRNA from 1 species
UUGUAACCAUUGGAGUUCUAAGAGUUCUUUCUUCCCUCGUUUUAGUUUCAAUGUUUAUUUCAGUUUGUUUUUCAAUUGUUAUGAACAUAUGUAACUAAGUUUUUCUUAGUUAGAGGUGAAUUAGAAGCCAUGGACAUGUGUUUAAUAUGAAUUGAUUACCUUUAGUAAUUGUUUCGUAAAACAUGAAUGUGAUUUACUUAUCUGUUUGAAUGAUAACUUAUUCUUGUGUGUUGAUUAAGGAUGCAUACUUAGUUUGCAUGCAUGAAUCUGAUGCUAAAUUAUAAGGGAAUUUCACCUAAUCGUUAUGAACUUAUAAUUAAAAGUAGUGGAGAUUGCUAGUCACAAUCAUGUUAAGUAGAUUCUUGGCAAGAGUAUCAUGCAGUUCAUAGUUACGAUAGCCUUUUCAAUGCUUAUGAUUUCCAUGGAAUUUAAUUAUCUUUGAAUGUAUCUCUAUCAUGCUGUUCAUAUAGGGAGCUUGAGAAUUUUGGGCAGAUUUGCUCUAAACACUCUUUUGGACGAAUUUUGGUUUUUCCUUGACUCAAAACGCUUAAAAACACAAUCUAAAACAUAUUCUAACUAGUUAGACACUGUAAAGUAAAGGGAGGGUUUGGUUUUGAUGAAUUGGGAAACAAAACAAGUAAAUUAAAGAACUAAUGAAAUCUGCACGAAUUUGGGUAAAACUAUGGAUGAUAGGCUAGCUAGGAGGUUCUUCUCCACACAUGACACACUUGCAAACAAAACGAUUUCCAGUUGCUUUUCAAUAAACCAUUAAUUCUCAACGCCCCAGAUUAACCGUGAAUUGCACUAAUUAACCCUCAGAUUUUCCUAAUUGCAUUGAAUUGGAUGAUUGCAUACAACAACCCAAAGCAUUCCCCACAAGUUCCCUACAUGAAUUGCAUAAUAGAGAUACAAGCAAAAAUCAUUAAGUUCUAUGAAAAUCAUAAGCAUUGAUGAAGCAUUUGUAACUAUGAAUUGCAUGAAACUUAUGCCAAGAAUUUACUUAACGCGAUUGUGACUAACAACCUUCACUACUUGUGAAUAUAAGUUCAUAAUGAUUAGGUGAAACUCCCUUAUAUCCUAGCAUCAAAUUUAUGCAUGAAAAUUAAGCGUGCACUGUCAACCAAAACACACAAAUCAAUUUUAAUUCAAAUGGAUAAGUAAAUUGAAUUCACAACUUAUGAAUCACAACUGAAAGUAAUCAAAUCAUAUUGCAAGCAUGAGCAUGGUUUCGAAUUCCCCCUUAGCUAAGAGGGGUUUAGUUCCUCAUACUCACAAAGCAAAGAUAAACAAAUUUAGACAUUGAAAACAAAAGAAAGAAAACACUUAGACACUUUAGCGAUCCAAACUGAACAGCAAGCACGUCUACGAACUUCCCCCCUUCCUCUUUGUUGCGGCACAAGGUUUAGGGGUCAGGUUUUGGGAGUUAUGAAUGGUGUAGAAGGAUGGGGUUAAGGCUAGGAUAGGUCUAUGGUGCAGCAAGAAGUGUUUUAGGUCAGAAACUAUGGAGAAUGGUGAGGGAUGGCUGCGGCAGAGAGUGGUGAUGAGUUUCUGGCGUGAAUUGUGAAUAUGGGAGGUGGUCUCUACAGCAAGAAUGAAAUAUGAGUAUAUAUAGGCACAUAAAACCCUAAGGAAAUCAGGUUAGGACUUAGACUUAGCAGAAAAUAAGGAUUAGGGCCCAAACAAUCAAAAUCUAAAGGGGUAAAGGCUUAAAAGGUGCGGCAGAUAUGUAGGAAAGGGAUUGGGCUUCUAGAAUGCCUUGCAAGGCAAGGAAAAAGGUUUCUAGAAGGGUUUAGGUGCGGCAAAGGAGGGAAAAGUGUCUAGAACCUUUACUUUGUGUCCAAAAAUGCUUAGGAAGCCUUCAAUGUUGCUGGAACUUAAGGCCAUGUAGGUUUUAGGAAAGAUCAAACCAAAGUAGGAAACUUAGGCUUAACUUUCCUACUUCAAGUAGGAAUCCUUGUUUGAGUGGAAAUCUUCAUUCUUCUAGGAAUCCAUCUUCAACUCGGAAUCUUACGUUGAUUAGGAAUCCUUCGUUGGUUAGGAAUCCUUCUUCAAUUAGGAUUCCUUCGUUGAUUAGGAAACCUUCUUCAAUUAGGACUCCU